UAAAUUGCUAUCAUUAUCAAAAUACUGAAUUUGAUUAUUGAGGAAAGCAAACGACAUCAGGGGAUAUCAUAUGCCUCAGUAGUGAAGACUGCUGACUAAGGCAAGGAAUCAUAUACCACAGGAGAACGUCGAACUAACGACACGCCUGGUUCAGUCUAACGAGUAGAGACUCAGACCCUAGAAGGUACCAAAUGAAGGAUACAGCUGGUAAGGUCUACAACAGUGAAAGACAGACCCCAGACAGUAUCAAGUGAAAGAUACGUCUUGUAAGGUCAAAACAAGGAUAACAGACCCCAGACAGUAUCAAAUGAAAGAUACGUCUUGUAAGGUCAAAACAGAUAACAGACCCCAGACAGUAUCAAAUGAAAGACACGUCUUGUAAGGUCAAAACAGAUAACUGACCCCAGACAGUAUCAAAUAAAAGACACGUCUUGUAAGGUCAAAACAGAUAACAGACCCCAGACAGUAUCAAAUGAAAGAUACGUCUUGU
rnacentral:lncRNA from 1 species